rnacentral:rRNA from 1 species
GCGAGUCAAUGAGUAUACACUAAACUUAAAGGCGAAACAAAAGUGAAGGCCCUUCUUUGUGAGUGGCUGAGGGAAGAUGUGAUGACUCGCUCCCUCCGGCUUGUAAAAGUCGGAUAGCAGUCACUCCGCAUUCCCGGGGCGUUCAACUCUCAUUGCGAGAGUGGGCGCACCCAGAGCGUACACGYUGAUACCCGAAAGAUGGUGAACUAUGCCUGGCCAGGACGAAGCCAGGGGAAACCCUGGUGGAGGUCCGAAGCGAUUCUGACGUGCAAAUCGAUCGUCGGAGCUGGGUUUAGGGGCGAAAGACCAAUCGAACCAUCUAGUAGCUGGGUUCCCUCUGAAGUUUCCCUCAGGAUAGCUUGCUUCAGAGAAAAAUAUUGAGUCUCAUCCGGUAGAGCGAAUGAUUAGAGGCCUUGGGGUCGGAAUGACCUCAACCUAUUCUCAAACUCCAAAUAAAUGAGAUUUCCGGCUUGCUUGUGAAAUGAAGCCGCUGAAAUUGGAUCUAGAAAGUCAAGUGGGCCAAUACU